ACGGUAACACCGUGACGGCCGAGCUAAUGGUACGCACGACGUCGCCGACAUUUUCAGCCAACCAGUCGUCGGGCGUUCGUUGUGUCUAACGACAAGAAGAAGGGAAGGCGCGCGCUGACGCUAUCGCGGGCCGCUUGAGUGAUGAAGUGAGUGCGGAGUGAGACCUAUUUUUGUGCUCACCGACAAACAGCCUCGUAGAUCUCGUGACACAUCGUUAGAAUGCCACGAAAAUACCCUCCGCGCGGACGAAAAGUGCUGCGGGGAUAUCCAGACACCGGCUACCACAAUUUAUUCCGAGAAAUUGCCGGCUGUUCUUCUUCGUGCACGCAAUGAUACGUUCCCGCUCCACACUCGGAAAUGAUACUACACGCCUUUUCGUAUGUACGGCGUAUUUCAUACGCCUUAUCGAGUGAUUGCACCGUUGGAAAUACGAAACUCCGUGCACCGUAUAGUUAGAUAAAUAGUCGCCGCCGGUAUACAGUGUGAGCUAUGCGAAGUGCUACAAGUUGUCCCUCUACACCCCCUAUCGGCCCGUCGAAACCGCCACUCGGUAUUUACGGAAGAAGAUGAUAUCGGCGGUUGCAGCGGAAAAUAGUUUGUAAUGGUACGCGCGGCUCACCCUGUAGCGAAGAAUGUUCCAGUCGGCGCGAAGAAGAGACGUUUGUCAAUGGAAAUGUUAUCAUGCAAAGUGGAUAAUUUCUUAUGAUUGCUCAGGAUAUCCUAUGAUAAGUACAGAUAACCGUAUGGCCGAACGAAGCCGUCCACCGCAAAGUAUGCUUUUUCGCCCGCGGGAGACCUGCCAUAACCUACACGUUUUGAAUACAAAAAAAUACAACUAGUAAUACAAAUUUAGAUCUUUCGAAUAGAGGAACGUUCGUUGAAAAAGGUAUUAAAAAUUUUGAGAGAAAAAUCCCCGGA